rnacentral:rRNA from 1 species
GAUGAACGCUGGCGGCGUGCCUAAUACAUGCAAGUCGAGCGAAUGGAUUAAGAGCUUGCUCUUAUGAAGUUAGCGGCGGACGGGUGAGUAACACGUGGGUAACCUGCCCAUAAGACUGGGAUAACUCCGGGAAACCGGGGCUAAUACCGGAUAACAUUUUGAACCGCAUGGUUCGAAAUUGAAAGGCGGUUUCGGCUGUCACUUAUGGAUGGACCCGCGUCGCAUUAGCUAGUUGGUGAGGUAACGGCUCACCAAGGCAACGAUGCGUAGCCGACCUGGGAGGGUGAUCGGCCACACUGGGACUGAGACACGGCCCAGACUCCUACGGGAGGCAGCAGUAGGGAAUCUUCCGCAAUGGACGAAAGUCUGACGGAGCAACGCCGCGUGAGUGAUGAAGGCUUUCGGGUCGUAAAACUCUGUUGUUAGGGAAGAACAAGUGCUAGUUGAAUAAGCUGGCACCUUGACGGUACCAAACCAGAAAGCCACGGCUAACUACGUGCCAGCCGCCGCCGUAA